rnacentral:rRNA from 1 species
UGAGGAAUAUUGGUCAAUGGGCGCAAGCCUGAACCAGCCAUCCCGCGUGAAGGAUGAAGGCCCUAUGGGUCGUAAACUUCUUUUAUACACCAAGAAAAAGCAGGACGUGUCCUGCCCCGACGGUAGUGUAUGAAUAAGCAUCGGCUAACUCCGUGCCAGCAGCCGCGGUAAUACGGAGGAUGCGAGCGUUAUCCGGAUUCAUUGGGUUUAAAGGGUGCGUAGGCGGCUUUUUAAGUCAGUGGUGAAAUCUUGCCGCUUAACGGUAAAAUUGCCAUUGAUACUGAUAAGCUUGAGUACAAUUGAGGUAAGCGUAAUGUGUAGUGUAGCGGUGAAAUGCUUAGAUAUAACACAGAACACCAAUUGCGAAGGCAGCUUACUGGGAUACAACUGACGCUGAGGCACGAAAGCGUGGGGAUCAAACA